UACGUAGGGUGCAAGCGUUAAUCGGAAUUACUGGGCGUAAAGCGUGCGCAGGCGGUUUUGUAAGACUGUCGUGAAAUCCCCGGGCUCAACCUGGGAAUGGCGAUGGUGACUGCAAGGCUAGAGUUUGGCAGAGGGGGGUAGAAUUCCACGUGUAGCAGUGAAAUGCGUAGAUAUGUGGAGGAACACCGAUGGCGAAGGCAGCCCCCUGGGUCAAAACUGACGCUCAUGCACGAAAGCGUGGGGAGCAAACAGG
rnacentral:rRNA from 2 species